CGGGAUUCGUCCCGUUCAAAGGAAUGUAGCCUUACCGGCUGAACCUUGAG
rnacentral:ncRNA from 1 species